CCCAGUUUCAUUAGUUCUGAAUCAGAAUUCAGAACCCAAAUUUGAUCACAUGGAAUUGUUUAGCUUUGUCUAUAAUGUUCCUUCAUUGACCACAGUGAAUCGGUUAAAGGAAUCCCAAGAAUCCGAUGCUCGGCCGCCAUCUAAUCAGAGGUACAACUCCAUUCCCAAUUCUUUUUCUGUUUAUUAAUGCUAGAUUUGCUAAUUGACAAUGGAAAUUUUAGUUGUCAUUACAUAAUAUAGGUUGGUUUGUUUAUCAACCAUUGGAUAAAUAUCGAUUGGCGCGCUCUAAUAUGAUCAGAUUUAUAAGUAAGCAUGAGCAACACAAAUCCUUCUAGAACCCAAACCUCCAUUUUUCCUUGUCGUUGCCCAAUUGGAAUUUGAAAUUCAACAGGCCGGUCCGUAUGCUUCUGCAAUCCGAAGCCAUGGCUUCAACCCCGUGACUAACUUUCACUCGCAGAACUUUAACAAAUGCUUACUGCAUACUACACAGUACAACCACUAGCGUUUGAUUACUCAGGGAAAUCUUUCCGGCAUUUAUGGAGCUAACUGCCCAGAAUGAAUAAUUGCAAUGGAGGUAUUCCAUAAUGACCGUGACAUUUUGUAGAGUAAUCAUGUUACAUUGUGACGUGUUUAAGUUAAUUACUUUGUUGCAAUUUCGACAGGCUUGUAAUGGACAUGCCAUUACUUACGUUACGUACCACUGUAUGAUUCCAUUGGUAUGUUUCUUCCGAUUAUUCGAUGAUGAAGAAAUUAGUCAUUUGUUGAUCGUUCGAUAAGUUACUGGAUUAUGGUUGGUGCUGUGUAAGUGUAGGUGCAAAUGCAGUGGAG
rnacentral:lncRNA from 1 species